rnacentral:lncRNA from 1 species
AAUGCAGCAAUCAAGCCUGAUAAGCCACCUGGAAGUUUUGCUUGAGACGAUUUCUAGUGGGUUUACUGAUCCCUGUGAGCAUCAUGACUGCCUUUAGCAUUGUGGAGGAGGACUCGAGUUUCUUAUGAGGGCCCCACUUGGAAAAGCCGGCUGUGCAGAUUCAAGCCUCCGGUUCUGUUCAUGCUAUUCAAAAGCCUUUCCUCACCCUUGCUGAUUUAUUUUUAUGAUUUACAUACACUCCUGUGGAGAUUUACAGAAUGGAUUGUCUGUGCAUUGUCACGACCAAGUUGCUGUCACUGAUAUUCUGCAAAUGCUCCACUGCAAAAAAUGUUGAAGACAUACGGAUGAAAAUGUCAUUUUCUGAGUGCAGGUAAGGAUACCAAGGUUCUACACCUAGCUGCUUACAAAUCCCAAGUCUUAGCAGU